rnacentral:rRNA from 1 species
GGGCGGUGGCGGGGUCUAUACAUGCAGUCGAACGAACUCUGGUAUUGAUUGGUGCUUGCAUCAUGAUUUACAUUUGAGUGAGUGGCGAACUGGUGAGUAACACGUGGGAAACCUGCCCAGAAGCGGGGGAUAACACCUGGAAACAGAUGCUAAUACCGCAUAACAACUUGGACCGCAUGGUCCAAGUUUGAAAGAUGGCUUCGGCUAUCACUUUUGGAUGGUCCCGCGGCGUAUUAGCUAGAUGGUGGGGUAACGGCUCACCAUGGCAAUGAUACGUAGCCGACCUGAGAGGGUAAUCGGCCACAUUGGGACUGAGACACGGCCCAAACUCCUACGGGAGGCAGCAGUAGGGAAUCUUCCACAAUGGACGAAAGUCUGAUGGAGCAACGCCGCGUGAGUGAAGAAGGGUUUCGGCUCGUAAAACUCUGUUGUUAAAGAAGAACAUAUCUGAGAGUAACUGUUCAGGUAUUGACGGUAUUUAACCAGAAAGCCACGGCUAACUACGUGCCAGCAGCCGCGGUAAUACGUAGGUGGCAAGCGUUGUCCGGAUUUAUUGGGCGUAAAGCGAGCGCAGGCGGUUUUUUAAGUCUGAUGUGAAAGCCUUCGGCUCAACCGAAGAAGUGCAUCGGAAACUGGGAAACUUGAGUGCAGAAGAGGACAGUGGAACUCCAUGUGUAGCGGUGAAAUGCGUAGAUAUAUGGAAGAACACCAGUGGCGAAGGCGGCUGUCUGGUCUGUAACUGACGCUGAGGCUCGAAAGUAUGGGUAGCAAACAGGAUUAGAUACCCUGGUAGUCCAUACCGUAAACGAUGAAUGCUAAGUGUUGGAGGGUUUCCGCCCUUCAGUGCUGCAGCUAACGCAUUAAGCAUUCCGCCUGGGGAGUACGGCCGCAAAGCUGAAACUCAAAGGAAUUGACGGGGGCCCGCACAAGCGGUGGAGCAUGUGGUUUAAUUCGAAGCUACGCGAAGAACCUUACCAGUCUUGACAUACUAUGCAAAUCUAAGAGAUUAGACGUUCCCUUCGGGGACAUGGAUACAGUGGUGCAUGGUUGUCGGC